CGUGCCUAAUACAUGCAAGUCGAACGGUCUUUCUAUGGAAGCUUGCUUCCACUGAGAAGAUAGUGGCGAACGGGUGAGUAACACGUGGGUAACCUGCCCAUAAGAGGGUGAUAACAUCCGGAAACGGGUGCUAAUACCGCAUAGUUUUCUUGAUCGCAUGAUCGGGAAAGGAAAGACGGCCUUUGUGCUGUCGCUUAUGGAUGGACCCGCGGCGUAUUAGUUAGUUGGUGAGGUAACGGCUCACCAAGACGAUGAUACGUAGCCGACCUGAGAGGGUGAUCGGCCACAUUGGGACUGAGACACGGCCCAAACUCCUACGGGAGGCAGCAGUAGGGAAUCUUCCGCAAUGGACGAAAGUCUGACGGAGCAACGCCGCGUGAGUGAAGAAAAGGUUUUCGGAUCGUAAAACUCUGUUGUCAGAGAAGAACAAGUUGGAGAGUAACUGCUCCAGCCUUGACGGUAUCUGACCAGAAAGCCACGGCUAACUACGUGCCAGCCGCUGC
rnacentral:rRNA from 1 species